AUAGUUUGAUGAUGGCUCAGAAUGAACGCUUGGCGGCGUGCCUAACACAUGCAAGUCGAACGAGAAAGUCCGAGCUUGCUCGGGCGAGUAAAGUGGCGCACGGGUGAGUAACGCGUGGGUAACCUGCCCUUGAAACCGGGAUAACUUCGCGAAAGCGUUGCUAAUACCGGAUAUUGUCCCUUUUGCUAUGGCAUGAGGGAUGAAAGGUGACCUCUUCAUGAAAGUUGCCGUUCAAGGAGGGGCUCGCGUACCAUUAGCUUGUUGGUAGGGUAAUGGCCUACCAAGACUUCGAUGGUUAGCGGGUCUGAGAGGAUGAUCCGUCACACUGGCACUGAAACACGGGCCAGACUCCUACGGGGGGCAGCAGUGAGGAAUAUUGCGCAAUGGGGGAAACCCUGACGCAGCGACGCCGCGUGGGUGAGGAAGGCUUUCGGGUCGUAAAGCCCUGUCAGAAGGGAAGAAAUGUGUAGUGGUUAAUACCCAUUGCACUUGACGGUACCUUCAAAGGAAGCACCGGCUAACUCCGUGCCAGCAGCCGCGGUAAUACGGAGGGUGCAAGCGUUGUUCGGAAUCACUGGGCGUAAAGGGCGCGCAGGCGGUUUGAUUAGUCAGAUGUGAAAGCCCACGGCUUAACCGUGGAAGUGCAUUUGAAACUGUCAGACUUGAGUACCAGAGGGGGUAGUGGAAUUCCCGGUGUAGAGGUGAAAUUCGUAGAUAUCGGGAGGAAUACCGGUGGCGAAGGCGACUACCUGGCUGGAU
rnacentral:rRNA from 1 species